rnacentral:rRNA from 1 species
AACCAAGGUGGCUGAGCUAUAUAUUAAUGGUAAAAAGAUAGUUAAAUUAUAAAAAGUUUAUUAAAGCUUUGUAUAAAGGUAGAAUUUAAAUAUAAAGAAGAAAUUCAAUUACAACUGUAAAAUUGAAGCUAUGAAAACCUUGAUUGAAACUGGGAUUAGAUACCCCAUUAUUCUUGGAUGUAAAUAAACAUAUGUUUACCGGAGUACUACGAACUAAAUAAUUUAAAACUCAAAGGGCUUGGCGGUGUUUUAGACCUUUUAGGGGAACCUGUCUCAUAAUCGAUAAUCCACGUUAAACCUAACCUACUCUUGUACGCAGUCUGUAUACCGUCGUCGCCAGGUAACUUUUAAAAAGCUAGAAGUUAGCAGAAAAAUAAUGUUAAUUUAAACGUCAGAUCAAGGUGCAGCUUAUGUGUAGGUGAGGAUGGGUUACAAUUCUAUUAAUUAUAAUUACGGAUCUAAUUUUGAAAUAAAAUUUGUUGAAGGAGGACUUAAAAGUAAAUCAGAUAAUAUAAAUAUUUUGAAUAUGGCUCUGAAACGUGC